UCCGGGCGUAAGGAAACUGGUUUUGUUGAAUUGGAUUGUUGGUUCAGGUACGAGGGCGGAACGGGGGGAGGUAGACAUUCCGAGGGCCAGCUUGUCAGAGGCAACAGCUCCUCAGACUAGUCUUCAAGGUUGCUACAGUUCAACGCGGUUACGAUGCAAAGGUUUUUUCUUGGAAACGAGAUUCCAUAAAAAGACUCACAAUUCAGUUUCAAUAUUAGUCGGCAUUGGUGUUAAAAUGUGACGCGGUGUUUUUUUUAAUAUUAUUAUGUGUGCAUGUUGCGUGUUGUUUAAAAAGUGACAGUUACAAACUGUGUGUGUGUGCGCGCGUCUGUUUACAUGAAUGUUGGUGGUAUUUUUAGUGUAAAACCAACUACAUUUAUGGAUACUUGAUUUGAGAAAUGGGAAAUAAAAGGAUGAUUCGAAACAAGAAGAAUUGAUGGUGAGAAACCACUUCUGCAGUCCACAGGAAGAACCCGAAGUUGCCUGUAAUGUAAACCACCAAUAUCGUAACUUCUCGUGGGAAAAUGACACUAAUCAUUCAGGUGGACGUAGUUUGCAUGACUAUGUCUCCGCGACGGGAGACAUCUGUCGACACACCCUGCUGAUACUGAAGAGAGCAUGUCAGCCCCUGCAACACCCUCGGAGCAACCCCCUCCCCCUGCAUCCCCGCUUGAAAUCACCGCCUCUGUUAUCACAGCGGGUAGUCAAGAUAUUAUCUCGCCAGAAUCUGUGAUUCAGAGUUCCCAUAAGUUGGACGAUGGAGAUGACGAAUCUCCAUUGCCCCCGGCAUUGCCGCCAAGACCCCCACCUCGACCGAGACA